UCCUGCCAGAGGCGACCGCUUUUGGAGUUCGAUUAAGCCAUGCGAGUCGAGAGCCUUAGGGGCUCGGCAUACUGCUCAGUAACACGUGGAUAACCUGCCCUAUUGUCUGGAAUAACCUCGGGAAACUGAGAACAAGGCCGGAUAGCCCACAAUGCCUGGAACGGUUUGUGGGUGAAGAUAGGAUGGGUCUGCGGCGUAUCAGGUCGUAGGGGGUGUAAUGGACCUCCUAGCCAUCGACGCGUACGGGUGUUGGGAGACAUAGCCCGGAGAUGGAUUCUGAGACACGAAUCCAGACCCUACGGGGUGCAGCAGGCGCGAAAACUUCACACUGCAGGAAACUGUGAUGAGGGAACUCCAAGUGCAUUCACUAUGUGGAUGCUUUUUUUGACUAUUAAUCGGUCAACGAAUAAGGGCUGGGAAAGACCGGUGCCAGCCGCCGCGGUAAUACCGGCAGCUCAAGUGGUCGUCGCUUUUAUUGGGCCUAAAACGUCCGUAGCCUGUUUGGUAAAUCUGUGGGUAAAUCAACCAGCUUAACUGGUUGAAUUCUGCAGAGACUGCCAGACUAGGGACCGGGAGAGGUGUGGGGUACUCUAGGGGUAGGGGUAAAAUCCUGUCAUCCUUAGAGGACCACCAGUUGCGAAGGCGCCACACUGGAACGGAUCCGACGGUCAGGGACGAAGCCUAGGGGCACGAACCGGAUUAGAUACCCGGGUAGUCCUAGGUGUAAACGCUGUGAACUUGGUGUC
rnacentral:rRNA from 1 species